ensembl:lncRNA
UUCCCUAUAUAGUGCACUACUUUAGACCAGAUCCCUAUGGCCCCUGGCACCCUAUUCCCUAUAUAGUGCACUACUUUAGAUCAGAACCCUAUGGGCCCUGGCACCCUAUUCUCUAUGCAGGUCCUGGUCCAAAGUAGUGCACUAUAAAGGGAAUAGGGUGCCAAUCGAGACAUGACCAAAAUGAAGGAAGCUUCGUAAUGACGUGUUUCUAACAGAACAGAAUCUUUUAUGCAACGAAUAUAAAAAAAUAUAUUUAAACACCUUAUUUAGGUUCAAUAACAUUUUAAUAAUUUAUUAAAUGACUUGUGCACUCAUAGCAGGUAAUUUACAUAUCAGUAGUUAAAAUCGCAAUAACACUUUGUACUGUAUAAAUCAUUGCUUUUAGUUUAAAAGACAUAGGAUGUAUCUCAAACGGCAUCCUAUUCCCUACAUAGUGCACUACUGUUGACCUGGGCCCUAUCGGGCCCAUAACCAUAGCUCUGGUCCAGGGCAUUAUAUAUAUAUAUGUCUUCAUGGAAGGACGUGUGGUAACACCGUGGACCAGAGCUAUCCAAUACGUAGCUCUGGUCCAGGGCAUUAUAUAUAUGUCUUCAUGGAAGGACGUGUGGUAACACCGUGGACCAGAGCUAUCCAAUACAUAGCUCUGGUCCAGGGCAUUAUAUAUAUAUAUAUGUCUUCAUGGAGGGACGUGUGGUACCACCGUGGACCAGAGCUAUCCAAUACAUAGCUCUGGUCCAGGGCAUUAUAUAUAUAUAUAUAUGUCUUCAUGGAGGGACGUGUGGUAACACCGUGGACCAGAGCUAUCCAAUACAUAGCUCUGGUCCAGGGCAUUAUAUAUAUAUAUGUCUUCAUGGAGGGACGUGUGGUAACACCGUGGACCAGAGCUAUCCAAUACAUCGCUUCAUUCUGGUAUGGAAUAAGAUACAGUUAUAGAAGUGUAGAGACAAAAAAAUAUAUAAUACAUAUAUUUUAUUUUUUCUCACAACCUUGAUAAGAAAAUACAAAUGUCAGUGUCAGUAGGACCAACGUAGGUGAUUUAUAUAAUUAAGCAUUGGGUUAAGGUUUUUAAGAAAUCAAAUAUAUAUAUAUAUAUAUAUAUAUAUAUAUAUAUAUAUAUAUAUAUAAAUUAUAUUUAUACAUAUUUCCGACUUCAUAAACGAAACAGACACAUCAACUCAUCCCCAUCGCAGGAAAACAUGUUGUGGUAUAAAUGGUUAACAAAUCCCAAAAGCUUCCAACUAAACCUUUUCUCAUUGGUCCCCCCCCCCAUAUCGCAUGUCAAUCAUCAUGAUGUCAUGAUCAACACAGUAUAUACGCUGACAUAUGGUACCACAUCGUUUGUUUUGAAAAGUUAUCCAAAGAUGUGAAUUCUACCCUCAGAAACGGUGCUUUUUCCACAUAUUGGACUAUACAGUAUAUUGGGAGUGUCUUCUAGCAUAGGAUCUGUAUCCCAGGUGGCACCCUAUCCCCUAUAUAGUGCACUAAAAGUAGUGCACUUUGUAGGGAAUAGGGUGCCAUUUGGGACUGUGACAUAGUCAUCGUCACACCACCUUUUGUGCACGUAGCCAAAACGCUUAUCAAAACAUAGGCUCUAAAAAAAAAAAAACACUACCUUUGGUCCCUUGAUUGGUUUACAAGUUAAAAAGAACAGAUCUGUCUCGAGCUUUGGCCAACUGUACUCUAAAAACAUUAUCAAAUGAGGAAGAACUAUCCCGUCUGCCUGAGUACCCUGAUGUCCUGAUGUUAAUAUUUUUUUUUUUAAAGAUAAACAUUUAAAUAAAUUCAUAAUCUGGCAGGACAAUUGAGGUAAAUCUAGAUCUGGCAUUAUGGAUUCUUUCUUCAACUGAAAGGCUCCUACGACUCACAGUUUCCACACAGCACCAUACACACUAGAUAAUCCACUGUUUCCACACAGCACCAUACACACUAGAUAAUCCACUGUUUCCACACAGCACCAUACAUACUAGAUAAUCCACUGUUUCCACACAGCACCAUACAUACUAGAUAAUCCACUGUUUCCACACAGCACCAUACAUACUAGAUAAUCCACUGUUUCCACACAGCACCAUACACACUAGAUAAUCCACUGUUUCCACACAGCACCAUACAUACUAGAUAAUCCACUGUUUCCACACAGCACCAUACAUACUAGAUAACCCACAGUUUCCACACAGCACCAUACAUACUAGAUAAUCCACUGUUUCCACACAGCACCAUACAUACUAGAUAAUCCCUGUUUCCACACAGCACCAUACAUACUAGAUAAUCCACUGUUUCCACACAGCACCAUACAUACUAGAUAAUCCCCUGUUUCCACACAGCACCAUACAUACUAGAUAAUCCCUGUUUCCACACAGCACCAUACAUACUAGAUAACCUACAGUUUCCACACAGCACCAUACACACUAGAUAAUCCCCUGUUUCCACACAGCACCAUACAUACUAGAUAAUCCCCUGUUUCCACACAGCACCAUACAUACUAGAUAAUCCCGUUUUUCCACACAGCACCAUACAUACUAGAUAAUCCACUGUUUCCACACAGCCCCAUACAUACUAGAUAUGGUUUUUAUUUCAUCCAAUACCUAGGAGGACUAAUCUGGUAGAACAUGGUUCUAUAGGAGGACUAAUCUGGUAGAACAUGGUACUAUAGGAGGACUAAUCUGGUAGAACAUGGGGUCUGGUACUAUAGGAGGACUAAUCUGGUAGAACAUGGUACUAUAGGAGGACUAAUCUGGUAGAACAUUGUACUAUAGGAAGACUAAUCUGGUAGAACAUGGUUCUAAAGGAGGACUAAUCUGGUAGAACAUGGGGUCUGGUACUAUAGGAGGACUAAUCUGGUAGAACAUGGUACUAUAGGAGGACUAAUCUGGUAGAACAUGGUUCUAUAGGAGGACUAAUCUGGGUAGAACAUGGUACUAUAGGAGGACUAAUCUGGUAGAACAUGGUACAAUAGGAGGACUAAUCUGGUAGAACAUGGUACUAUAGGAGGACUAAUCUGGUAGACCAUGGGGUCUGGUUCUAUAAGAGGACUAAUCUGGGUAGAACAUGGUACAAUAGGAGGACUAAUCUGGGUAGAACAUGGUACGAUAGGAGGACUAAUCUGGUAGAACAUGGUACUAUAGGAGGACUAAUCUGGUAGAACAUGGGGUCUGGUACUAUAGGAGGACUAAUCUGGUAUAACAUGGUACUGUAGGAGGACUAAUCUGGUAGAACAUGGUACUAUAGGAGGACUAAUCUGGUAGGACAUGGUACUAUAGGAGGACUAAUCUGGUAGAACAUGGUACUAUAGGAAGACUAAUCUGGUAGAACAUGGUACUAUAGGAGGACUAAUCUGGUAGAACAUGGUACAAUAGGAGGACUAACCUGGUAGAACAUGGGGUCUGGAACUAAAGGAGGACUAAUCUGGUAGAACACUGUACAAUAGGAGGAAUAAUCUGGUAGAACAUGGUACUAUAGGAGGACUAAUCUGGUAGAACAUGGGGUCUGGUUCUAUAAGAGGACUAAUCUGGGUAGAACAUGGUACAAUAGGAGGACUAAUCUGGUAGAACAUGGUACUAUAGGAGGACUAACCUGGUAGAACAUGGUUCUAUAGGAGGACUAAUCUGGUAGAACACGGUACUAUAGGAGGACUAAUCUGGUAGAACAUGGUACUAUAGGAGGACUAAUCUGGUAGAACAUGGGUCUGGUAGAUGUUCAACCAGACCACCCUACACCAACCUAGUUCAGCUGGUAGAUGUUUAACCAGACCACCCUACACCAACCUAGUUCAGCUGGUAGAUGUUUAACCAGACCACCCUACACCAACCUAGUUCAGCUGGUAGAUGUUUAACCAGACCACCCUACACCAACCUAGUCCAGCUGGUAGAUGUUUAACCAGACCACCCUACACCAACCUAGUUCAGCUGGUAGAUGUUUAACCAGACCACCCUACACCAACCUAG